rnacentral:rRNA from 1 species
GACGAACGCUGGCGGCGUGCCUAAUACAUGCAAGUAGAACGCACAGGAUGCACCGUAGUUUACUACACCGUAUUCUGUGAGUUGCGAACGGGUGAGUAACGCGUAGGUAACCUGCCUGGUAGCGGGGGAUAACUAUUGGAAACGAUAGCUAAUACCGCAUAAGAACAUUUACUGCAUGGUAGAUGUUUAAAAGGUGCAAAUGCAUCACUACCAGAUGGACCUGCGUUGUAUUAGCUAGUUGGUGAGGUAACGGCUCACCAAGGCAACGAUACAUAGCCGACCUGAGAGGGUGAUCGGCCACACUGGGACUGAGACACGGCCCAGACUCCUACGGGAGGCAGCAGUAGGGAAUCUUCGGCAAUGGGGGGAACCCUGACCGAGCAACGCCGCGUGAGUGAAGAAGGUUUUCGGAUCGUAAAGCUCUGUUGUUAAGGAGGAACGUGUGUGAGAGUGGAAAGUUCACACAGUGACGGUACUUAACCAGAAAGGGACGGCUAACUACGUGCCAGCAGCCGCGGUAAUACGUAGGUCCCGAGCGUUGUCCGGAUCUAUUGGGCGUAAAGCGAGCGCAGGCGGUUAGAUAAGUCUGAAGUGAAAGGCAGUGGCUCAACCAUUGUAGGCUUUGGAAACUGUUUAACUUGAGUGCAGAAGGGGAGAGUGGAAUUCCAUGUGUAGCGGUGAAAUGCGUAGAUAUAUGGAGGAACACCGGUGGCGAAAGCGGCUCUCUGGUCUGUACUGACGCUGAGGCUCGAAAGCGUGGGGAGCGAACAGGAUUAUAUACCCUGGUAGUCCAGGGCGAAUUCCACAUUGGAUAUCAUGCUUAUCGAUCCCGUCGACCUCGAGGGGGGGCCCGGUGCCAGCUUUGUUCCCUUUAGUGUGGGGUUAAUUAGCGUGGUGCUGUGUGUGUGGGUGUGUGUGUGUGGAGCAGGAGAUGAAGGAUGGUGGUGUAGUGUUGUGGUGCUGAUUGUGUGGUGUUGUGUUUGGUGUGUUGUUGUGUUGUGUGUUUUGGUUUG